rnacentral:rRNA from 1 species
UCAGGAUGAACGCUAGCGGCAGGCUUAACACAUGCAAGUCGAGGGGUAACGAUUUUGAGUAAUCAAAAGGCGACGACCGGCGCACGGGUGAGUAUCGCGUUUGUAACCUACCUCUGACUGGAGCAUAGCCCGAAGAAAUUCGGAUUAAUACUCCAUAAUACUGCGAGAAGGCAUCUUUUUUCAGUUAAAGCUUCGGCGGUCAGAGAUGGGCAUGCGUAACAUUAGCUGGUUGGUGAGGUAACAGCUCACCAAGGCUACGAUGUUUAGGGGGUCUGAGAGGAUGGUCCCCCACACUGGUACUGAGACACGGACCAGACUCCUACGGGAGGCAGCAGUGAGGAAUAUUGGUCAAUGGGCGAAAGCCUGAACCAGCCAUGCCGCGUGAAGGAUGACGGCCCUAUGGGUUGUAAACUUCUUUUAUACGGGAAGAAACCCCUCUACGUGUAGGGGGCUGACGGUACCGUACGAAUAAGCAUCGGCUAACUCCGUGCCAGCAGCCGCGGUAAUACGGAGGAUGCAAGCGUUAUCCGGAUUUAUUGGGUUUAAAGGGUGCGUAGGCGGAAAAUUAAGUCAGUGGUGAAAUCCUGCAGCUUAACUGUAGAAUUGUCAUUGAUACUGGUUUUCUUGAAUACAGUUGAGGUAGGCGGAAUGAGUAAUGUAGCGGUGAAAUGCUUAGAUAUUACUCAGAACACCAAUUGCGAAGGCAGCUUACUAAACUGUGAUUGACGCUGAGGCACGAAAGCGUGGGGAGCGAACAGGAUUAGAUACCCUGGUAGUCCACGCCGUAAACGAUGAUCACUCGUUGUUGGCAAUACACCGUCAGCGACUGAGCGAAAGUAUUAAGUGAUCCACCUGGGGAGUACGAUUGCAAGAUUGAAACUUAAAGGAAUUGACGGGGGCCCGCACAAGCGGAGGAGCAUGUGGUUUAAUUCGAUGAUACGCGAGGAACCUUACCUGGGCUUGAACGUAUGGUGCAUGAGUGUGAAAGCACUCUUUCCUUCACAGGACUUCAUACGAGGUGCUGCAUGGUUGUCGUCAGCUCGUGCCGUGAGGUGUUAGGUUAAGUCCUGCAACGAGCGCAACCCCUGUUUUUAGUUGCCAGCAGGUUAUGCUGGGCACUCUAGAAAGACUGCCUGCGCAAGCAGAGAGGAAGGUGGGGAUGACGUCAAAUCAGCACGGCCCUUACGUCCAGGGCUACACACGUGCUACAAUGGUCGGCACAGAGGGUGGCUACCCGGCAACGGGAUGCUAAUCUCCAAAGUCGAUCUUAGUUCGGAUCGAAGUCUGCAACUCGACUUCGUGAAGUUGGAUUCGCUAGUAAUCGUAUAUCAGCCAUGAUACGGUGAAUACGUUCCCGGGCAUUGUACACACCGCCCGUCAAGCCAUGGAAGUUGGGGGUACCUGAAGUCGAUUACCGUAAGG